AACGAACGCUGGCGGCAGGCUUAACACAUGCAAGUCGAGCGCCCCGCAAGGGGAGCGGCAGACGGGUGAGUAACGCGUGGGAAUCUACCCAUCUCUACGGAAUAACGCAUGGAAACGUGUGCUAAUACCGUAUACGUCCUUCGGGAGAAAGAUUUAUCGGAGAUGGAUGAGCCCGCGUUGGAUUAGCUAGUUGGUGGGGUAAAGGCCUACCAAGGCGACGAUCCAUAGCUGGUCGGAGAGGAUGAUCAGCCACACUGGGACUGAGACACGGCCCAGACUCCUACGGGAGGCAGCAGUGGGGAAUAUUGGACAAUGGGCGCAAGCCUGAUCCAGCCAUGCCGCGUGAGUGAUGAAGGCCCUAGGGUUGUAAAGCUCUUUCACCGGUGAAGAUAAUGACGGUAACCGGAGAAGAAGCCCCGGCUAACUUCGUGCCAGCCGCCCGCCGUAAGAC
rnacentral:rRNA from 1 species